rnacentral:rRNA from 1 species
UAGCAGAGGUCUCAAGCGUUUGUUCGGAUUCAUUAGGGCGUAAGGGUGGCUAGGGCUGGCGCGGUAAGUACGGGUCGGUGAAAUCUCCUGGCUCAACUGGGAGGGUGCGCCGAAUACUGAGAAGCUAGGAGUGUGGGAGAGGAAAGUGGAAUUCCUGGUGAUAGCGGUGAAAUGCGUGAGAUAUCAGGAGGAAACGACCGGUCGG